ACAGUUUUCAACUGUUAUAAGCUUGUGUUUGUGAAAGCUGCUUCUUGAAUGUUGUUUAAUUGCAUUAUACAGUGGCUGGUUGUCUCAUCUCACGAACAGUUGUUGCUUGUUGUUCUUGAUAUGUGGGGGCUUCAACAGGUAAAGGAGAGAUAAGAAAAAUAAAGAGUCAGAAAGAAGAGAAGACAAUUGAAUUGGUGAGUGAGAUUGCUGCUGGUUGCAGCGUGAGGAAGAAGGGGGAGGAGGAAAGAGAAAAGUAAAGAAAAAAAUAGGGGGAGUAUGUGUCCAUGAUAUGUUCAAAGUUGCUGUCAUUAAAGACAAAAGCCCAGCGGACCCUGGUUAGUUCUUCACCAUCAGGACCUGCUUAUACCGUUGAAAAUUCUGCACAUCAAGAAUCUGACAGGCCUUUGGCCCAGCUGUAUGAUCAAGGACAAUCACUCUCUAAUCCAUUGGCCAGUCAUCCUGAAACAUCUAAGCAGCUGUUAUUCCAGGAAUUUCAAAAUUGUAUUGCUUCUAUUGUACAAAGUUCUGCCAAUUCAACAUUGACAGUGACUACUUCCACUAAUUCUACUAGGAUUCCCAUGACAAGAGUUAACAAGAAUCCAAACUUGGAGACGACUAUUUAACAGAGGCAGGUGCAGGGAAGGCAAUGUGUGCUUCCGGUUGUUCCUCAACCAGACCAGCAGCAUGUUCAGAAUGCAGAGAAAUAUCCUUACAAGCAGAAAUUAGAAGAUCAGCAUCUGAAGCAGAGCUUCAAUCAGGGAAAUAUCAUUCACUCUGACAUGCAAACUGAGAUCCAGCAAGGGGAACAGAAGCACAUUAUCUCAUCACCAUCACAGCAAUCUGUCAUUGUAGCAUUUUCUGUUAUGCAGCCUUCUGUGAUGCAAUCAGCCUCGGCAGAAUCCAGAGUCUUCUGUUCAACUGCCAAUGCAAUCUGGACUACAGCAACAUCCGUAGUCAAUCUCCGAAAAUAAUACAUGUGUAUUAGAAUUUUUACAAAUAUCACUUUACAUUUAUUGUAUAUAAUAUUCGAAUAUAUAUAUAUAUAUAUAUGAGAAUAUAGGUUGCUAAA